rnacentral:rRNA from 1 species
AUGAAGAACGUAGCGAAAUGCGAUACUUGGUGUGAAUUGCAGAAUCCCGUGAACCAUCGAGUCUUUGAACGCAAGUUGCGCCCGAGGCCAUUAGGCUAAGGGCACGUCUGCCUGGGCGUCACGC